rnacentral:lncRNA from 1 species
UGCCUGCAGGCCCAGCGAGCCAAAUUCCUCAGCAGUGUGGACAACGAGCUGGAGGAGCUGGCUGUGACCAUCGCACAGACCAGGAAGAUGGUGGAGCUCAUCAAGGGUGUUGCCAGCAAGGAGAAGGAGCGGGUGGAGAAGCUCUUUGCAGAAGCUUCUGAGCUGCUGGCCACCUUCCAGAAGGAGGUGGCCGCCUUCAUCGAGGACAGCGAGCGCUCCAUGCUGGGGGAGACCGAGGCUGACCUCCGCUGGAAGGAGGAGAGGAGAGCCAAGCUGGCCCAGGGCAAGCAGAACCUGGAGAACAUCCC